GCCUGGAUGGCUCAAUCUGUAGAGCACGUGACUCCCAAUCUCAGGGUUGUGAGUUCAAACCCCAUGUUGGGUG
rnacentral:tRNA from 1 species